rnacentral:lncRNA from 1 species
CCCUUGUAGCAACUAGCACAACUGGUUGCUCAAUAGUGCUGCAAUCAGUAUGCGUUCCUGAAUAAUUUAGGAGGAGAGUAGUCCACCUCACCAAAAACCACUUACCCAGACUGUGAAAGAGCUCAGUCAUUUCUCCUCAUACUCUCUGAAAGAUGAGCCCAAGGGCAAUUAUAGGACCACAAAGGAGUUUGCAGCGGGUGGGCAGUGUGUAUCUACGCUCGAAUAAUCUGCCCUAGAGUGGAUUGUUGGUAGUCAUUUUAAAGUUGUUUGUCAAGUUGGUUACUCAAGAGCAUGUCCCCAGGGACAACUUUGUCACUGAACAAGGCACACACAAAAGCUCUGGGGUAGGGCUUCCACCUCAGGGAAACAUAGAGCUGUUCUCAACCUCUGAGCAGAGGGAAUCAGGCCAGCAGAAAAGCGUGAGUGGAAAGCCAGUUUGGCUAUUAAGGGAACCUGUCGACACAGAGCAGAGCAAGAUAAGGCCAGGUUUCAGAAAGAAUAGCUGUUUACCAUCAAAGCAACUGGGUUCCACACAGACAUGGUAUAUUAUACACAAAGACGAAGGACUGCUGCUGAAUAGAUCUAAACUGUGAAUGAACAUAGCUGCCUCCGGAGGUAUCCUGACAAGAGGCCUCGGUCCAUCUGACUCACGCAUCAAGGUCUUAUUGGAGGACAGCUUUCAAGUUCACAGGGGUGCUGUCCCGAGCAUGCAGUGGCAGCUGUGCCAGGCAGGUGUGAAGCAGUGAGGUGCCUUAUGGAGCCACAGCCAGUGUCAGAGGGUUGCUACACAGUGAUUCCCAUACCUCCUAUAUUGGAAACUUGAGUGACCUUUUGAACCUGACAAUUCUGGACAAUAAUUACUUGUAAAGACAAUGGACACCACUCAUGAGGAGGGAGUAUAAAGUGGUGGCUAGAGUCUAAGAGAGCACAAUUUGACUCUUGGCUUCUCCACUCACCAGAAAACCUUGGCCAGAUCACUCUCAACAACUUGGUUUCUUCAUCUAUAAAAUGGGAAUAAUAAUUGUAUUUUCUCCCUGAAAUUGUUUUGAAGAAUAUGGGAGGCAGUGCAUGUCAGCACUAAGUCUAGACCAUAAAUCCUUGAUAUGCAAUAUUGCUAGCUACUGCUUGCACCUCCAUCAGCAGUUAAGAAUGGCUUGCGACCUUACCUGAACCACAGGCUGACUCACUCAUAGCUGCGCUGUCUGAAAAAGCAAUGGCCAACAUUCCAGAAGCAAAAAUGAGGCAAUGACAUACAUUCAUAUCCAUCUGCCAAGAGACUCUUUUGGAAAGUCCUAUAUUUCAGGCAUAAACAAAAUCCAGAAAAUAAUAUAAUGAACACUCAUAGAUGUUUCAUGGAACUUUGACAAAUUUUAAUGUUUUGCAGGGUUUAUUCAGAUGGUAGGAAAUAAACCACUCAGAAUUUUGUUGAGUUACUCAGUGCCUCUCCUUGAGCCCGUUCUUCUUCUUACCUUCCCCCUUCUGUCCCAAGAUGAUUACUGUCCUGAAUGUGAG